AGCGCAAGCGGCUGUGGAGUGUAUAGAAGUGAGAAUGCCGGAAUGAGUAGCGCGAAUGCAGUGAGAAUCUGCAUGGCCGAAAGCCUCAGGUUUCUGGAGGAAGGUUCGUCCGCUCCAGGUUAGUCGGGAGCUAAGGUGAGGCCUAACGGCGUAGCCGAUGCACAGACGGUAGAGAUUCCGUCACCACCAAAAGAGUUAAACACAGGGACACAUAUGAAGUCUCGGAGCCGGGUGUUGGUUCCGGUAGCGAUCGAGGGAAGUUAGUACCGAAGUCCGGGAUGGAAGAUGGCGAGAAAAGCUGUGUGUAUUUCUGCGGUGCCCGUACCGCAAACCGACACGGGUAGGUAGGAAGAAGAUUCUAAGGCCAACGGGAGAAGGGUUGUUAAGGAACUCGGCAAAUUGACCCCGUAACUUCGGGAGAAGGGGUGCUGCAGCAAUGCAGCCGCAGAGAAUCGGCCCAAGCAACUGUUUACCAAAAACACAGGUUUGUGCUAAAUCGAAAGAUGACGUAUACGAGCUGACGCCUGCCCGGUGCUGGAAGGUUAAGAGGAGAUGUGCAAGCAUUGAAUCGAAGCCCCAGUGAACGGCGGCCGUAACGAUAACGGUCCUAAGGUAGCGAAAUUCCUUGUCGGGUAAGUUCUGACCCGCAUGAAAGGCGUAAUGAUUUGGGCACUGUCUCAACAGCCCGCCCGGCGAAAUUGUAGUACCGGUGAAGAUGCCGGUUACCCGCGACAAGACGGAAAGACCCCAUGGAGCUUUACUGUAGCCUAAUAUUGGGUUUCGAUGUUGCAUGCACAGGAUAGAUGGGACACAGGGAAGCAGGUGCUUUGGCGCUUGUGGAGUGGCCGUUGGGAUACCAUCCUUGCGAUAUUGGAAUUCUAACCUGCGCCUUUGAAUCAAGGCGGGGGACAUUGUUAGGUGGGCAGUUUGACUGGGGCGGUCGCCUCCUAAAGAGUAACGGAGGCGUUCAAAGGUUCGCUCAGCUUGAACGGAAAUCAAGCAAAAGAGUGCAAACGCAGAAGCGAGCCUAACUGCGAGACUGACGGGUCGAGCAGUAACGAAAGUUGGAGUUAGUGAUCCGGUGGUAUGUGAGUGGAAAUGCCAUCGCUCAACGGAUAAAAGUUACCCUGGGGAUAACAGGCUGAUCUCCCCCAAGAGUCCACAUCGACGGGGAGGUUUGGCACCUCGAUGUCGGCUCAUCGCAUCCUGGGGCUGUAUUCGGUCCCAAGGGUUUGGCUGUUCGCCAAUUAAAGCGGUACGCGAGCUGGGUUCAGAACGUCGUGAGACAGUUCGGUCCCUAUCUGUCGUGGGCGCAGGAUAUUUGAUGGGAGCUGUUCCUAGUACGAGAGGACCGGAGCGGACGUACCUCUGGCGCACCAGUUGUUCUGCCAAGAGCAUAGCUGGGCAACUAUGUACGGAUCGGAUAAACGCUGAAAGCAUCUAAGCGUGAAGCCGACCCAAAGAUAAGAUAUCCCAUUGUUUCAAACAAGUAAGACCCCUUGAAGACUACAAGGUUGAUAGGCACGAUGUGUAAGUGGAGCGAUCCAUUCCGCAAGCGUGUACUAAUAGGUCGAGGGCUUGACCG
rnacentral:rRNA from 1 species